UUAGGUUUGGAAUCCUGCUCAGGAUGAACGCCGGCGGUGUGCCUAAUACAUGCAAGUCGAACGCGUUGGCCCAAUUGAUUGAUGGUGCUUGCACCUGAUUGAUUUUGGUCGCCAACGAGUGGCGGACGGGUGAGUAACACGUAGGUAACCUGCCCAGAAGCGGGGGACAACAUUUGGAAACAGAUGCUAAUACCGCAUAACAACGUUGUUCGCAUGAACAACGCUUAAAAGAUGGCUUCUCGCUAUCACUUCUGGAUGGACCUGCGGUGCAUUAGCUUGUUGGUGGGGUAACGGCCUACCAAGGCGAUGAUGCAUAGCCGAGUUGAGAGACUGAUCGGCCACAAUGGGACUGAGACACGGCCCAUACUCCUACGGGAGGCAGCAGUAGGGAAUCUUCCACAAUGGGCGCAAGCCUGAUGGAGCAACACCGCGUGAGUGAAGAAGGGUUUCGGCUCGUAAAGCUCUGUUGUUAAAGAAGAACACGUAUGAGAGUAACUGUUCAUACGUUGACGGUAUUUAACCAGAAAGUCACGGCUAACUACGUGCCAGCAGCCGCGGUAAUACGUAGGUGGCAAGCGUUAUCCGGAUUUAUUGGGCGUAAAGAGAGUGCAGGCGGUUUUCUAAGUCUGAUGUGAAAGCCUUCGGCUUAACCGGAGAAGUGCAUCGGAAACUGGAUAACUUGAGUGCAGAAGAGGGUAGUGGAACUCCAUGUGUAGCGGUGGAAUGCGUAGAUAUAUGGAAGAACACCAGUGGCGAAGGCGGCUACCUGGUCUGCAACUGACGCUGAGACUCGAAAGCAUGGGUAGCGAACAGGAUUAGAUACCCUGGUAGUCCAUGCCGUAAACGAUGAG
rnacentral:rRNA from 1 species